UACGAAGGGGGCUAGCGUUGCUCGGAAUCACUGGGCGUAAAGCGCACGUAGGCGGAUUGUUAAGUCAGGGGUGAAAUCCUGGAGCUCAACUCCAGAACUGCCUUUGAUACUGGCGAUCUCGAGUCCGGGAGAGGUGAGUGGAACUGCGAGUGUAGAGGUGAAAAUUCGUAGAUAUUCGCAAGAACACCAGUGGCGAAGGCGGCUCACUGGCCCGGUACUGACGCUGAGGUGCGAAAGCGUGGGGAGCAAACAGGG
rnacentral:rRNA from 1 species